AACAGCAAAUGAUGUCUCAAAGUCAAUCACAACCAGGACAGUUACAGCCACCUUUGGGUUUGCAGCAACAGGCGAAUCAAUUGCAAAGGGAGAUGCAACAGAGGCUUCAACCAUCAGCCCCCUUGCUUCAACAGCAAAAUGUAAUGGAACAGCAGAAGCAGCUAUAUCAAUCACAAAGAGUCGCACCUGAAGCCUCUUCAACAUCUUUAGAUUCUACAGCUCAGACGGGAAAUGCAAAUGCAGCUGAUUGGCAGGAGGAGGUUUACCAAAAGAUAAAGUCUAUGAAGGAGUCGUACUUAGCAGAGCUCAAUGAUCUAUACCACAAAAUUGCUUCUAAAGUGCAACAGCAUGAUUCUCUUCCUCAGCGUCCUCAAAAUGAGCAAAUUGAAAAGCUCAAGAUGUUCAAGAUCACGCUGGAACGCAUUGUGCUUUUCUUGCGGCUUAACAAGCAGGAUAUUCAACUUUCUCACAAGGAAAAGUUGGCUUCGGUUGAGAAGCACAUAAGUUUCUUUCUUAGUUCCAAUAGGCCGCGCAGCAAGCCUUCUUCUUCUCCACUGCAGGGACAGCUUCCUCAGUCUUCCAUGCAGCUUCAGCAACCACCAUCUCUUGAUGGUCAAUCUAAUCCGUCAAUGCAACCCUCACAGGGUUCCAUGGCAGCAAUGCCUCAGAAUAAUCUCACCAACUUGCAACAUAAUACCUUGUCUGGUGUACCGACAAUUUCCAACUCCCAGCAGCACAUGAUAAAUACAGUACAGCCUGGUUCCACUGUGGAUUUGGGACAGGGUAAUUCAUUGAACUCACUGCAGCAGGUGGCUACUGGCUCUUUACAACAGAAUCCUGUUAACAGUCCUCAACAAGUUAACAUGAGCUCAUUAAGCUCACAAAGUGGAACAAACCCCGUACAGGCAAACCUCGGUUCCCUACAGCAAAAUUCAAACGCCCUGCAACAGUCACUUCCUAAGCAGCACGAGCAGCAAAUGUUGCAGAACCAGCAAUUAAGACAGCAAUACCACCAUAGGCAUAUGCAGCAGCAACUUUUUCAAAGACAGCA
rnacentral:misc_RNA from 1 species